GGACUUGGGGGUGAGUGAUGGUGGUGUGGUCAGAAUUUGAGAGGGUUUGGAGGUCAAUUGCCUGUGGAAAUGGUGGAAGUUUUUGAGGGCAGCGCUAGGGUUUAGGGUCAGAGACGAGAGUGACUGAGAAGUGAGUUUGGUCUUAGGUUGUUUGGGAGGGUGUUUGGACAAUCUUAAACAAAAUGAGGGAAGUGUUAUCGACCAUUAGAUAAGAUGGAACGGAAGGCCAGGAUUGAUUUUAAAACAAACAAACUCCAAACGGCAUAGUAUUGGCCCUAUACUACAUCGUUUGAAUUGUCUAAAAAACAGAUGGUUUGGACUGGGUAAAGGGUGUGGGUUUGGGCCGGACUGAAACGGAUUCUAGGAAAUUCAUUUGGGCCUGGCUGAAUUGGCUUUAAAAGCCCUUUUAAAACUCUUUUCCCCUUCUUUCUUUUUAAUUUCCAAUUUUCUUUUCCUUUUCAAAUUAGUUUAAAACCUAAAUUAACUCUUAAACUAAAUUUAUUUUCCAAAUUAACUAAUUACUCAUCAUAGUAAUUACAAAAUUAAUUAACUCCUAAAUUAAAAGAAGAACUACAAAAAUUUUAAAAUUAAAAAGUUAAAAAUGCAAAGUGAGCCAUUUUUUAUGAUUUUUAUUUUUUAAUAAAAAAAUAAUUUACUAAUUAACUCCAAAAUGAAAAAUAAAUCCUAAAUGCACAUGUAUGGUAUUGUUUGACAUUUUCAUGAUUUUUAACAAAAUAAACAUGCACAAAAAAUGCAAAUAAUUUACAAAAAUCCUACGACAAAUCUACAAAAUUGCAAAUAAAUGGGAAAGAAUUUAGUUUCUUGAAUUUAUGGGAGUAAUUCAUAUAGGGCAAAAAUCACGUGCUCACAGCUGCCUCUCUUUGCUCGGAAACACGAAGAGUUUUCGUACAAAGAUAAAGUGAGCGGAUACGAGCGAAUUUUGCCCGUUUGAAUACUCAGUGGGAAGUAUUUUGAAAAGAUUUGACCACAUUUUGCUUUCGAGGUUGCCUACAUAUCCUUGGCUAUUAAGUAAUCAAGUCAGUAUAGUUCAGGAAGUUUUGGUAGCUGGACUACCAGGAAGCCGUGAUUUCACUGUUGCUGCUGCUACUACUGCUUGCUGAACUCCUUAUUACACCAAGACAAAAUGAAGUAGCUAAACUAAACUAUGAUCUAUGAAUUACAAGAAUCCUAUCUAUAUCCUCAAACUUGAUCUUGCAAUUUCUGUUGCUCUGUUGAUUUGCACUCUUCAGGUGAAAUUCCUUUGUUGCUGACUUGAAUUGUAUUCUGAGGUGCUUCUCCUUUGUUCUCCAAGUGGGCGCCUGAUUACUGAACUUUGAACCGCCUUCCUUUGAACAUUGUUUCUUUCCCUUUGUUCUCCAAGGGGCUCCUAAUUGCCAACACUUGAAUUGCUUUCCCUUUGUUCUUCAGGUGGGUUCCUGAUUACCAACACUUGAACUGCUUCUCCCUUUGUUCUUCAGGUGGGCUCCUAAUUACUAAUACUUGAAUUGCUUUCCUUUUGUUCUCUGGGUGGGUUCCUGAUUGCUGACACUUGAAUUGUUUUUCUUUUGUUCUCCAGGUGGGCUCCUGAUAACCAACACUUGAAUUGUUUUCCCUUUGUUCUCCAGAUGGGCUCCUGAUUGCUGAACUUGAACUACUUUCUAUUUCUUGAAACUCGUGUUGUUUUCCCUUUGUUCUCCAAGUGGGAUCCUGAUUUCCAACACUUGAAUUGCUUUCUCNNNNNNNNNNNNNNNNNNNNNNNNNNNNNNNNNNNNNNNNNNNNNNNNNNNNNNNNNNNNNNNNNNNNNNNNNNNNNNNNNNNNNNNNNNNNNNNNNNNNNNNNNNNNNNNNNNNNNNNNNNNNNNNNNNNNNNNNNNNNNNNNNNNNNNNNNNNNNNNNNNNNNNNNNNNNNNNNNNNNNNNNNNNNNNNNNNNNNNNNNNNNNNNNNNNACUUUCCCUUUGUUCUCCAGGUGGGCUCCUGAUUUCCAAAGCUUUAUUCAUAUUCCCUUGCUCUCCAGGUGGGCGACUGAUUUCCAAAACUUGAACUGUAUUCCCCUGCUCUCCAGGUGAGCGCUUGAUUGCCAAAACUUUAACAGUAUUCCUUCGAAACUUGAUUUGUUUUCCCUUGGUUUUCCAGGUGGACUCCUGAUUGCUGAACUUGAACUACUUCCUCUUGUGACUUCUUUUCUUUUGAACUACCUUCCCUUGUUUCUACAGGUGGGUGCCUGAUUGCACGACCCUGGGCUUCUUUCUAUUCUCGAAACUCAUGUUGUUUUCCCUUGCUCUCCAGGUGGGCGCCUGAGUACAACAGAAUAGACAAAACACAGAAAAUUUUCUACCCCAGUUUGGUAGUUGGGCACAUCUGUGAGUGUUAAUUGAAUUGUGUUACCCAAUAUCUCUAAGAAUUUAAAAUCUAAAUCCCACUAUCCAGGAGGGUCCUAAAAACUCCUGGUUAAAUAACAGUUUUAAAGCUAAAUUAUAUUUUCUAAAGGUAUGACUUCCACUAAAUCUUGUUAUCUAUGAAGGUCUCAAAACUAAAUCCCCUUAUCCAGGAGGGUACUGAAAAUUUCAAAUUGAAUCCUAUCCAAAGAAUGAAAACUUCAAAGCUAACUUAUAUUUCCUCAAGGUAAAGCUUAUGCUAGAUCUUGUUACUCAUGAAUGUUUUGAAUUUUAAACUAGGUCCCAUUGUCCAGGAGGGUCCUGAAGAUUCACGGUCGAACCUGUCUGGUACUUGCUUUCUUUAAGGAAGGUUUCUCUGAAACAAACAGAAUUUUCUGCCCCUGUUUCAAAUCAAAGAAAAAUCUUAUCAGUUUAAAAUAUGGUGGUUAGUUUGUGACAUUUUUGCUGAAGGUGGCCUCUCUGUUGCCGUGCUUUGCUUGGACUCGUAGCCUUGAACUGGCCAAGAACCAUUCGACUUUCCGACUGACUCACGACCGCAGGACCUUGGAUGACACGAGUGCUCUACACCCAAACCGUUAUUUUACAUUUCUGACCCUUCUACCUGAAUCUCUGUAUCUCCCACAAGAUUACUAAACCAUUCGACCAAUGGAACUUUCACUGAAACCUUAUUUCCCACUUUACAUCAUGCUAUCUCUGGUAUGCUUUGGCCAUACUUUGCUUUGUGCAAGUUGGUAGUAAGCUUUGAAAUCCUUUCUUACUUGCUUAAACAUAGCUGACAUUGGAAAAACCUUAGAGAAAUAAACCCAAAAGAAAUGAAAUGCAAUGACUUUGAGAGUUAGGAAUAAAAGAAAAUCUAAAACUGGAUGACUGUUUGGGAAGGGAAAAGGAAAAGAGACUUAUAUAAGUGGAACAGCUGGCACCAAUGAUCAUGACAUGCAUUUCGGAUUAAUCAGCCCAGCCUAUUCAACCAAUCGCCUUUUAGUUGUCAUACUUUAUGUCCCCGAGAUCUCCAAAACCCAAUUUCUUUACCAAAUCACCGACCUUGUUCGGCCUGCGGUGCCUUGAAGGGUUUUCCUCAAUAAACCUCUCUCAUUUAUUCAUCUCUCAACUCAUUAUUGCCUUACAGUGCCCGUGAAGGUUUUCACAAAUAAGACUCUCUCAUUUUUUCAUUUUUCCUGCUCAGAAUGGAGUGUUGCCUCUGAUAUGAAUCACCUCUGCUUGCUCGACUUGACAUCUCUUGAAGACUGAUCAGAAGGUCUUUCUUUGGACCGUAAUGUGGGUUUUUGGACAGUGUUAGAAAGAAAAGGUAUCACAAAGGCUCAAAACAACUUGAAUGGGUUCAAAAUUACAACUCUUGGAAUCAGAUUUCUCACAACAACCACAAAUUUCUACCCCAGUUUCUUUGCUUGGGGACUUUGAAUUUUUAGUUUGAUGGGACCGAACCGUGAGGCUACCUACGUAUCCUUAAAAGGAAUCAGGUCGAAUGUAGUUCAUGUCAUAGGAAUUACUUUGUUGUUGUUACUUCUUUUUUCCUUUCUUUCUCUUUUUUUUUUCUUUCUUUCUUUCUUUCUUCUUUCUUUUUUUUCUUUUCUUUCUUUCUUUUCAUGAAUCCAAAGAAAACAAAAUAGGAGGAAAUUGGAGCUAAAUCAAACAACAAAAUCAAACAAGCUAACUAAACAAAAUGCUGACCAAAAAUAACUUAAAAUUAGCAUGCAUACAAAAACGAUUUGAAAAACAGAAAAAAAAAGAAAGAAUCAGAAGAAGAUGAGAAUGAGAAUAAAACGAAAGAUGAAAGAAAGAGAAAUGGCUGGAAAAUACAUAGAAUAAGUGGACUUGGAUAGAUCUUCAACACUUUCAAUUUUGAGCCGAAAUAGGCAUUAAUCGCGUGUUCUCAUUGAGAACAGACGAAUAACACCAAUUUUAACCCUAAUUGUUCAAGGAAAACUCGGAGAUUUUGGAGGAUUUUCUUUUUCCUUCUUUUUUAGAUCUGGAACUGGUUAGAUUUGGUGAGGUUUUGGGGAUAUACAUCGGUGGUUUGGGACUUAGGGGUGAGUGAUGGUGGUGUGGUCGGGAUUUGAGAGGAUUUGGAGGUUAAUCGCCGGUGGAAAUGGUGGAAGUUUUUUAGGGCAGCGCUACGGUUUAAGGUCAGAGACGAGAGUGACUGAGAAGUGAGUUUGGUCUUAGGUUAUUUGGGAGGGUGUUUGGACAGUCUUAAACAAAAUGGGGGAAGUGUUCUCGGCCAUUAGAUAAGAUGGAACGGAAGGCCAAGAUUGAUUUAAAACAAACAAACUCCAAACGGCGUAGUAUUGGCCCUAUACUAUAUCGUUUGAAUUGUCUAGAAACCAGAUGGUUUGGACCGAGUAAAGGGUGUGGGUUUGGGCCGGACUGAAAUGGGUUCUAGGGAAAUUCAUGUAGGCAUGGCUGAAUUGGCUUUAAAAGCCCUUUUAAAACUAUUUUCCCCAUCUUUCUUUUUAAUUUCCAAUUUUCUUUUCCUUUUCAAAUUAAUUUAAAACCUAAAUUAACACUUAAACUAAAUUAAUUUACUAAAUUAGGUAAUUACUCAUCAUAGUAUUUACAAAAUUAAUUAACUCCUAAAUUAAAAGAAGAACUACAAAAAAAAAUUAAAAAGUUAAAAAUGCAAAGUGAGCCAUUUUUUUGUGAUUUUCAUUUUUUAAUAAAACAAAUAAUUUUCUAAUUAACUCCAAAAUCCGAAAAUAAAUCCAAAAUGCACAUGCAUGGUAUUUUUUGACAUUUUCAUGAUUUUUAACAAAAUAAACAUGCACAAAAAAUACAAAUAAUUGACAAAAAUCCUACGACAAAUCUACAAAAUUGCAAAUAAAUGGGAAAGAAUUUAUUUUCUUGAAUUUAUGGGAGUAAUUCAUAUAGGGAAAAAAUCACGUGCUCACAGCUGCCCCUCUUUGCUCAGAAACACGAAGAGUUUUCGUGCAAAGAUAAAGUGAGCGGAUACGAGCGAUUUUUGCCCGUUUGAAUACUCCGUGGGAAGCAUUUUGAAAAGAUUUGACCGCACUCUGCUUCCGAGGUUGCCUACAUAUCCUUGGCUAUAAAAGAAUCAGGUCAGUGUAGUUCGGGAAGUUUUGGUAGCUGGGACUACCAGGAAGCCGUGAUUUCACUGUUGGUGUUUCUACUACUGUUUGCUGAACUCCUUAUUACACCAAGACAAAAUGAAGAAGCUAGACUCAACUAUGAUCUAUGAAUUACAAGAAUCAUAUCUAUAUCCUCGAACUUGAUCUUGCAAUUUCUGUUGCUCUGUUGACUUGUACUCUUCAGGUGAAAUUCCUUUGUUGCUGACUUGAAUUGUAUUCUGAGGUGUUUUUCCUUUGUUCUUCAGGCGGGCACCUGAUUACUGAACUUUGAACCGUCUUCCUUUGAACAUUGUUGCUUUCCCUUUGUUCUCCAAAGGGCUCCUAAUUGCCAACACUUGAAUUGUUUUCCCUUUGUUCUUCAGGUAGGCUCUUGAUUACCAACACUUGAAUUGCUUCUCCCUUUAUUCUUCAGGUAGGCUCCUGAUUACCAACACUUGAAUUGCUUUCCCUUUGUUCUCAAGGUGGGCUCCUGAUUAUUGACACUUGAAUUGUUUUNNNNNNNNNNNNNNNNNNNNNNNNNNNNNNNNNNNNNNNNNNNNNNNNNNNNNNNNNNNNNNNNNNNNNNNNNNNNNNNNNNNNNNNNNNNNNNNNNNNNNNNNNNNNNNNNNNNNNNNNNNNNNNNNNNNNNNNNNNNNNNNNNNNNNNNNNNNNNNNNNNNNNNNNNNNNNNNNNNNNNNNNNNNNNNNNNNNNNNNNNNNNNNNNNNNNNNNNNNNNNNNNNNNNNNNNNNNNNNNNNNNNNNNNNNNNNNNNNNNNNNNNNNNNNNNNNNUGUUACUCAUGAAUGUUUUGAAUUUUAAACUAGGUCCCAGUGUCCAGGAGGGUACUGAAGAUUUACGGUCGAACCUGUCUGGUACUUGCUUUCUUUAAGGAAGGUUUCUCCGAAACAAACAGAAUUUUCUGCCCCUAUUUCAAAUCAAAGAAAAAUCUUAUCAGUUAAAAAUUUGGUGGUUAGUUUGUGGUAUUUUUGCUGAAGGUGGCCUCUCCGCUGCCGUGCUUUGGUUGGACUAGUUGCCUUGAACUGGCCAAGAACCAUUCGACUUUCCGAUUGACUCUCUACCGCAUGACCUUGGAUGACCAGAGUGCUCUACACCCAAACCGUUGUUUUACAUUUCUGACCAUUCUACCUGAAUCUCUGUAUCUCCCACAAGAUUACUAAACCAUUCGACCAAUGGACUUUCACUGACACCUUAUUUCCCACUUUACAUCAUGCUAUCUCUGGUAUGCUUUGGCCACACUUUGCUUUGUGCAAGUUGGUAGUAAGCUUUGAAAUCCUUUCUUACUUGCUUAAACAUAGCUGACAUUGGAAAAACCUUAGAGAAGUAAACCCAAAAGAAAUGAAAUGCAAUGACUUUGAGAGUUAGGAAUAAAAGAAAAUCUAAAACUGGAUGACUGUUUGGGAGGGGAAAAGGAAAAGAGACUUAUCUGAGUGGAACAACUGGCACCAAUGAUCAUGACAUGCAUUUCGGAUUAAUCAGCCUAGCCUAUUCAACCAAUCGCCUUUCAAUUGUCAUACUUUAUGCCCCCGAGAUCUCCAAAACCCAAUUUUUUCACCAAAUCACCGACCCUGUUCGACUUGCAGUGCCCUAAAGGGUUUUCACCAACAAACCUCUCUCAUUUAUUCAUCUCUCAACUCACAGUCGCCUUACGGUGCCCGUGAGGGUUUCCACCAAUAAGACUCUCUCAUUUUUUUUUAUUUUCUUACUCAGAACGGAGUGUUGCCUCUGAUAUAAAUCACCUCUACAUGCUCGACUUGACAUCUCUCGAACACUGAUCGAAAGGUCUUUCUUUGGACCGUAAUGUGGGUUUUUGGAUAGGGUUAGAAAGAAAAGGUAUCACAAAGGCUCAAAACAGCUUGAAUGGGUUCAAAAUUACAACUCUUGGAAUCAGAUUUCUCACAACAACCAUAGCUUUCUGCCCCAGUUUCUUUGCUUGAGGACUUUGAAUUUUUAGUUUGAUGGGACCGAACCGUGAGGCUACCUACGUAUCCCUAAAAGGAAUCAGGUCGAACGUAGUUCAUGUCAUAGGAAUUACUUUGUUGUUGUUACUUCUCUUUUCCUUUCUUUCUCUUCUUUUUUUCUUUUAUUUUCUUUCUUUUCUUUCUUUCUUUAUUAUUUCUUUUUUUUCUUUUCUUUUCUCUUUCUUUCUUUCUUUUCAUUCUUUUUCCAUUUUUUCCUUUUCUUUUCGCUCUUCUUUCCUUCUUUACUUCUUUACUGACAUUUCACGUUCGUGUUUUCUGAAUUUAUCUACUGAUUCCAAAAGAGGGGUAUGAAAAGAAAUAAAUAAGGCUCAAAGGGGUAACAAAGGAUAAAGUGUUUAGAAAGCAGAACGAAAUGCCUUCGUCAUUCCAAUCUUCAAAACAUGCCAAGUACAAACAAACACAAUUUAAAUCAAAGAGAUCAUACAUGAUAUCUUUUGACUGCGUCAGAAUUGAUAGCCAUAUCUACACAUUUGCCUUCUAUACCUGUUAAAUACAAAACGCCAUUAGACAACACUCUCGUUAUGAUAAACGGCACCUGCCAAUUUGGGGCAAACAUGCCUUUUGCUUCAGCCUAAUGUGGAAGGAUGCGUUUCAAUACUUGCUGACCCACUUCAAAUUUCCGUGGACGCACAUUCUUGUUAUAUCCUCUUGCCAUUCUCUUUUGAUACAAUUGGCCAUGACACACUGCUGCCAAUCUUUUUUCAUCAAUCAAACUCAAUUGCUCUAGACGGGUUUUGACCCACUCGUCGUCAUCAAUUUCGGCUUCAGCAACGAUCUGAAGGGAUGGGAUUUCAACUUCCACAGGUAUCACUGCUUCUGUGCCAUACACCAACAAAUAAGGAGUCACACCUACUGAAGUGCGAACAGUAGUGCGAUAACCCAACAAUGCAAAUGGCAGCUUCUUAUGCCACUGCCUGGAACCUUGCACCAUUUUCCGAAGUAUCUUCUUUAUGUUCUUGUUGGCUGCCUUGACUGCUCCAUUCGCCUUGGGGCGGUAUGGGGUGGAAUUGCAAUGCAUAAUCUUAAACUUUCGACAUACUUCUUUCAUCAGAUGACUGUUAAGAUUAGCACCAUUAUCUGUGAUGAUUACCUUUGGGAUCCCGAACCGGCAAAUGAUAUUCGAAUGAACAAAAUCGACCACUGCUUUCUUAGUCACAGACUUGAACGUUUUAGAUUCAACCCACUUAGUGAAAUAGUCAAUGGCCACCAGAAUGAACCUGUGCCCAUUGGAUGUUGUUGGCUCAAUCGGUCUGAUGAAAUCCAUACCCCAAGCAACAAAGGGCCAUGGUGCGGACAUUGUGUGCAAUUCAAAUGGAGGAGAGUGAAUCAAAUCUCUAUGUACUUGGCAUUGAUGACAUUUGUGCACAAAACUGAUACAAUCUCGCUCCAUGGUGAGCCAAUAAUAACCUGCUCGAAGAAUCUUCUUUGCCAGAACAUACACACUCAUACGCGGCCCGCAAACCCCGGAAUGUACUUCGGUCAUGAUGGUCGUGGCUUGUCUAGCAUCUAUGCAUCUUAGCAACCCAAGGUCUGGAGUUCUUUUGUACAAAACUCCUCCAGUGAAGAAAAAUUCAUUUGCCAAACGACGAAUUGUUCUCUUUUGAUCACUUGUGGCUUGUACUGGAUAUAACCCCUUCCUGAUAUACUCCCUGAUGUCAUGAAACCAUGGUUCACCAUCAAGUUCUUCUUCAACCACAUUACAGUAGGCAUGCUGAUCACGAACUUGAAUAUGCAGAGGGUCAACAUAAGCUUUGUCCGGAUGGUGCAACAUCGACGCCAAGGUAGCCAAAGCAUUGGCAACCUCAUUAUGGAUCCUUGGAAUAUGCCUGAAUUCUAUUGAUCGAAACCGUUGACAAAGAUCAUGCAGACAUUAUCGGUACGGUAUAAGCUUUAAAUCCCAUGUCUCCCAUUCUCCUUGAAUCUGGUGCACCAGAAGAUCCGAGUCUCCCAAGACCAAAACUUCCUGGAUUCCCAUAGUGACAGCUAGCCUUAGUCCCAGAAUGCAUGCCUCGUACUCAGCCAUGUUGUUGGUACAAUAGAAACAAAGUUGAGCCGUAACAGGGUAGUGAUGCCCUAUUUCAGAAAUGAGUACAGCUCAUAUCCCAACGCCUUUCAUGUUAGCGGCCCCAUUAAAUAAGAGUUUCAAAUCGGGCUUUUCCUCCUUCUUGACCUUGUCAAUGUACAUUACCUCUUCAUUAGGAAAAUAAGUCUUCAACGGUUCAUAUUCUUCGUCCACCGGUUUCUCGGCCAAGUGAUCCGCCAGAUCUUGGGCUUUUAUUGUUGUUCGAGUCACAUAUACUAUGUCAAACUCCAUGAGCAAGAUCUGCCACUUUGUGAGCCUUCCUCUGGGCAUGGGAUUCUGAAAGAUAUACUUCAAAGGAUCCAGGCGAGAGAUGAGGUAAGUAGUGUAGGACAACAAGUAAUGCUUCAACUUUUGUGCUACCCAGUUCAGGGUGCAGCACGUCCUCUCAAGGGGGUAUACUUAACCUCAUACGAUGUGAACUUUUUGCUAAGAUAAUUGAUGGCUUGCUCUUUCCUGCAGGUGAUGUCAUACUGACCCAAUACACAUCCAAAUGAAUUAUCCAGGACUGUCAAGUAAAGAAUCAAAGGUCUCCCUAGUUUCGGUGGGACCAGCACAGUUGGGUUUGACAAAUACCCCUUUAUCUCAUCAAAUGCUUCCUGGCACUCAUCAGUCCAUUUGACCACAAUAUCCUUCUUUAGCAGUUUAAAGAUGGGCUCACAAGUUGUCGUGAGCUGAGCAAUAAACCUGCAGAUGUAGUUCAACCUCCCUAACGAACUCAUCACAUUGGUCUUGUUCUUCGGCGGUGGCAAUUCCUGGAUAGCUUUGAUCUUCAACGAAUCCAAUUCAAUGCCCCGUCGACUGACUAUGAAUCCCAACAAUUUCCCCGAUGGAACACCAAAUGUGCACUUUGCAGGAUUGAGCUUAAGAUUGUACCUGCGGAGCCUUUGGAAGAACUUUCUCAAAUCUUUGACGUGGUCUGACUGCUUCCUAGACUUUAUUUCACAUCGUCCACGUAAAUCUCAAUCUCCUUGUGUAUCAUAUCAUGGAACAUAGUUGUCAUUGCCCUCAUAUAAGUUACCCCAGCAUUUUUCAAACCAAAAGGCAUGAAACUGUAGCAAUACGUUCCCCAUGGCGUGAUGAAUGUCGUCUUUUUCGCAUCUUUCUCAUCCAUUAAAAUCUGAUGAUAGCCGACAUAACAAUCCACAAAAGACCCAAUCUCAUGCUUGGCACAAUUAUCAAUCAAAAUGUGGAUAUUUGGUAGUGGGAAAUUGUCCUUUGGACUUGCCUUGUUGAGAUCACGGUAAUUAACACACACUCUGGUCUUACCAUCUUUCUUUGGCACCGACACAACAUUGGUUAACCACGUGGGAUACUGAGUAACCAAAAUGACCUUUGAAUCAAGCUGCUUUGUGAUCUCUUCUUUAAUCUUCACACUCAUGUCGGUUUUGAACUUUCUCAAUUUCUGCUUAACGAGAGGAAAUGUUUGAUCAAUUGGCAAUUUAUGGACCACCAAAUCGGUACUCAAGCCUGGCAUGUCAUCAUACGACCAUGCUUUAAUUAUUUCUUCCCUGAUUUGCGGUUCAAGAUGGACACUUAUCUUAGUUUCUCUGACAUUAUUGGGAUCCCCUAGAUUGAUUGCUUUUGUUUCAUUCAAAUUAGGCUUGGGUUUUUCUUCAAAUUGACUUAGUUCCUUACUAAUCUCUUCAAAGGCCUCAUCCUCAUCAUAUUCUAGAUUUCUCAUGCAUGUCAUGUCAUAAACCAACAUAAAAAGAACUGUACAAAGAAGAGAAAAAAAACAAAAAUAAAACUAUCAGGAAUGAUGGAAAAGGGAAAUUGCAUUUCACUGAAAAUAAAGGAUAACAGGGUUUGUACAUCAACAAGCGAAAAAUAAAAAUCUAGGUCACAUCCCUGGAAUGACCCAGAUAGAAAAGAAAACAAAACAAACUACAAAGACUCCUUCUUGGUAGGGAGAGGAGUAGCCUUCCAAUUAUUAAGCUUUGCAUUCGACCGGACGAACUGCACGUCCGCUUUGCUAGAACCUUCUCAAACUUCCACCAAGUUCACAUCAUCAAAUAACCUCCGGAACCUUUCAAUUAACUCCUCAUCAAUGUCAUCCACAGAACUUGGAACUGUCGUCAUUGGGCAUUUCCUGGCAUCGGGCUUGACAAAAGACCUAGAGAGACGCGAAAUAGGCUUUGGAAGUACCCACACCUUAUGUUUCAACCUUUUAGCCCUUUUCAUAUCUGCCGCUAUAGGUUUGAAUCCAAGACCGAACGUACCCAAAUUCUUAGGGAGGGAUACCGGCUGUAUGAUACCCUACAGAGAUGCACCCAGACCAUUACCGAUCACAAAGCCAUUUCAGCAUUUCAAAGGCCACCAUGACUGAUGCGGAGGUUAUCUUUGGGGUUGGAACAUAUUUCCCUUCUGGAACCUUCUUUACCGACACUGUUUCAAAAACUUGAUAGACCCAAGGGCCUUUGUUAUCUUCAACCUCGAUGAACGGGAUGGAGGCAUUGCUGUGAGCACACAAGUUAUCUUUUCCAUGCACGACAAUCUCUUGUCUAUCCCAUUUGAACUUGACCAUCUGGUGCAGAGUGGACGGGACUACUUUGGCAGCAUGAAUCCAAGGUCGACCUAACAGCAAAUUAUAGGACACGGCCACGUCCAGUACCUAGAACUCUAUGGUGAAUUCCACUGGUCCUAUUGUUAACUCAAGCACUAUAUCACCAACCGAAUCUUUCUUUCCACCAUCAAAUCCCCGAACGCAGAUGCUGUUCUUGUGAAUCCUCUCAUCAUCCACUUUCAACUUGUUUAGAGUAGAGAGGGGGAAGAUGUUUGCACUAGAACCAUUGUCAACUAAUACUCAGGUAACCACAGAAUCUUCACAUUUUACCGUAAGAUAGAGAGCUCUGUUGUGUUCAGUCCCUUCCAUAGGCAACUUAUCAUCAAAGAAGGUGACCUUAUUCACCUUAAAUAUUUUGUUGGCGAUCUUUUCCAGAUGGUUUACUAAAAUUUUGUCGGGAACAUGAGCCUCGUUCAAAAUUUUCAUCAAGGCCCGACGAUGCUCGUCUAAGUGGAUUAACAAUGACAACAAUGAAAUCUGAGCAGGUGUCUUUCUCAACUGUUUCAUGUUGGAAUAAUCUUGUACCUUCAUUUUUCUUAGAAACUCCUCCGCCUCUUCUUCAGUCACUGCUUUCUUCACUAGCACUGGGUUAUCUCUCGAUGUUUUAGCUUUCCUUAACUCCUCCGGGGCAAAGCAUCUCCCCGAACGAGUUAGUCCUUAGGCCUUAUUGACUUUUUCUUUCACUUCCUUUCUCUUAUAGGUCACUAUCACCCGUUCAUAGUUCCAUGGGAUGGCCUUGGUGCUGAUUACCGGCAACCGGGUGACAGGCUUGAUGAUAACAGGAUCCAUACGGGCACCCUCUAUUAUUACGAUAGGCUUGUUUGCCACUCCUGGCACAACCAAUUUUGACUUUUCUAGCUUUGCCGCAACAUCACUUGGGGAUCCUUUCUCAACUACCACAGAUGGUUCAUCGCUUGUCCUACUCAACUUGUUUACUGAUCCUUCAACUGUUGGUUUCUAAAUUGGUUUGUCCUCACUGGACCGAAUCAUCAUAAUGGUCUGUGAAGGCUUCUUGGGUUCCCCUCCCUUAUGUACUUCUCAAUCAUGUUUGUUUCCUGAUGAGUUGGUAAUGGGUUCUUGUUGAUGUUGGGUGCCUCUGGAGUCUGGACUUCAAUUUGGUUUGUGUCAAUGAGCUCCUAGAUAGCAUUUUUCAGGUGCCAGCAUUUAUCCGUAUCAUGCCCUAGAGUACCCGAACAAUAUUCACAACUUACGGAGUAAUCAAGAUUCUUUGUAGGAGGGUUUGGUAAUUUUGACCCAAUUGGCCUCAGCAUAUCCAACUGCCUCAAUCUGUGGAAUAAACUAGUAUAAGACUCUACCAAGGGGGUAAAGGUUUUCUUCUGCUGCAACCUCUCAUUUUUGAAUGCUGGAUUGGGUCGGAAACCUAGGCCGGCAAGGUUUCGGUAGGCUCGUGGGGGUGGGUAAGCAUUUUGUGGAGCUGGAUAGGUGUUUUGUGGGGAUGGGGCAUGCCAUUGUGCGUAGGCAGGAGGUUGAGUAUAUGUCUGGGCUUGGUGGACAGAAAUCUGAGGGUUUGGUAAUGGGAAGUAAUGCUGGGGUGGAUUAUAUAGGGUUUGGGUGUAGGUUCGGUGAUGGGGUCGAGGCUGGGUAUAUUAGUGUGAUGGGCCCCUAGGUCCAAACAAUGAUCCUGAAUCAAUUGUCGCCACAUAUUCCUUCUUCUUCUUUCCAAUCACUCCCCAGUACCAUUGUGAAUAGCUUGGGUAGUUGCCUUGAUGACCGAGUAACUCAUGAUUUUACUUGAUUUAAGCCCUUCUUCCACCAUACCACCCAUCUUUACUAUCUCAUUGAAUGAUUUGCCUAUGGCCAAUAUCAGAUGGCCAAAGUACAUGGGCUCCAGGGCCUGCAGAAAUUACUCCACCAUUUUACUCUCCUCCAUCGGGGGGUUAACUCUUGCCGCUUGUUCUCUCCAGCGAAAACCAUAUUCUCUGAAAUUUUCGCUAGGCUUCUUCUUAAUCUUAGUCAAAGACAAACAAUUUGGAACAAUCUCAAUGUUGUACUGGAAAUGACGGGCGAAUGCUUGGGCCAAAUCAUCCCAGGUAUACCAUCUGUUAUGAUCCUAACGAGUGUACCACUCCAAUGUCGAGCCACCCAGACUCUGGCUAGAGUAUGCCAUCAACAACUCAUCUUUCCCAUAAGCUCCUCUCAUUUUACUACAGAAUCCCCUUAAGUGGGCCACCGAGUCCCGGUGCCCGUCAUACAAAUCAAACUUCGGCAUCUUAAAUCCUACAGGCAACUGAACAUCGGUAAAUAGACACAAAUCCUUGUAGGCUACGCUCACCUGGCCUCUCAAUCCCUGCAUGUUUCCAAAUGACUGUUCCAGACUUCUAACCUUUCUGAUCAUCUCUUCUUGCUCUGGGUUCUUAGGUGGUUUCUUAGUCUCGAUAGGGAGUCGAAACGAGGAGUGUAGGAGUAAGGCUCGGGGGCCUUGAAAGUAGGCUCCGGGGGAUAGUAUUGGUUAUCUUGGGUCUGGAAUAAAGGCUCGCUGGAGGAUUGAUAGAGUGUCGCGGUGAGGGUGCCACGAAAACAGGGGUGGCUGGUGGAGGAGGAGGGUAUGGAACUGGUUUGGGUGGUGGAGCUUGUGGUGCCCUGGUAGUGGUGGUAAAUAGGGAAGCCUGGAGAUGAAUCAACAGUAGGAGGUUCUUGGGAUUAGCCAGCGGCGGGACGAAAUCAGGGUUAGCGUGGUAGGAUGGUGGUGGAUGCCUUUUUACCCAUGCCUGGUACAUCUCUAUCAUCUGGUGUUUCAACUUAUACAACUCCUCUUUCAGGUUAACAUCAGACUCAUCCCCCUCUCUUGACGGGUCAAUAACACUUGCAUCCAGUUCUUGGUUAGCCAUGAUCAACUUGACUUUGGACCUGGUGUUGUACGGAUGAGUUGCAAGAAUGCCAAACAAACUAACCACCUGCCUGAACUUGAUGACAACAACAAACUUGUUGGCGAUUAGGGCUUGACAGAUAGGUAACCGCACGUUGGGGAUACAAUGCACCUAAGCAGUUAACUAUUUCUAUUAUGCAUUUGACCGGUUGCUUACGUCAUCCAGACUUCCCCUUAAUUUUCAUUUUGCAACUUCUCUCUCCUUCUCAUUCCUGCUUUUCUCUGUUUGAUUCUUUCCUUUCUUUAUUCUCUCAUCUUCCUCUCUUAUUUUGCCAUUAUUUCUUUCCGAUUUUUCUUGUUUUCUCUCUUUUCUUUUGUUUCUCUUUUUUUCUGUCUCUUCUCUCUCUCUUUUCAUGGUUAUGAUCAAAUCCUAUGGGGAUUGCCUAUGUAUCAUGACACCGCAUGAAUCAGAUCAAGCGUAGUUCUGGGAAAAAAUAAAAAUAAUAAAAAACAUUUUUGGAUUUUCAAAUUUUCAUAAAAUAAAAACGUCUUGAUUACAACGACUCAUUCUACAGAAUUUAAUCAUAAAAGCUAACAGACUUGAAAAGGGGGACUAAUAGACUCCAACAAAAAAAUGAAAAUACUGACUCGAAAACAGACUAACAAAACUCCAACAAAGAAAAAUGAAAAUACAUACUCGAAUGAAAAUCAUGAAUACAUCAAUGCCUCAACUGCUGCAAGGGCCCGUGGGACAUCAGUCGGUCUCGCCACGGGCCUAUGCGCAAGAUCCUCUUGAAUACGCUCCAGGUCACUCAUUAUUUGGCGAACAAAGGUCAUUACCGCAACAAAAAAGGUGGUUCUAGUCAUGUCUUCACAUUCAUGGUACUUCAUGACGAUGUAGUCAGCAAUGACUCUAACCCUCUCCCUGAUGAUACCCUUUUUCUUGGAGUAAACGCCCUAUUUGCUGAGUCCUAGCUUCUAGUACUUGGCCAUCAUGAUGGUUUUGACCUUGCAACUAUUGCAUAUCUUCCUCCAGUUGGGACAUUAGUGCAUAGCAAUGUUCCCUUUCUGCUUUAAAGCUCUUAGCCUUCUUGGUCAUCUCAUUUUCGAGGGUAGUUAGUUGUUUCUUCAACUUGGUGGCUUCUCCCUCAUAUUUCUUUUUUAGUUGCCGGACAAACUCUACUAGUCCCUCUACAUUCCUCGUUAACUGUGCUCGGGCCCUUGCCAAAUUACCCUCGAAUUUUUCCAGAUCAUCCUCACACUCAGCUAUUUUCCUCUUGAGACCACUUAUGAGUCUUUCAUCAUUUCGGCUCCUUUCCUGAUUCUCAGCAGCUAUUUUCAUUUUUUGGAUCUGUGCUCGAAGGGCCUCGUUUUCUUGAGCUAAUUUCUUCUUCUCCCCUUCAUCGGCAGCGGCCUAUACACUUUUGUCAAAUUUAAGAUCCCGAAUAUGUCCCUCCAAUUUGCUUAUGGUGGCUCUAUAGUUUGCCUUUUUUGCCAACCAAUUCCACUGCUUCUGUGCUCCAUCAGCGAAUUGUUGGACAUGGGGCCUUUUUGCGGGCCGUUCGGGCUCCUGAUGGACUUGGGACCUAUUACCAUACCAAGCCGUGUAACUAGGCUCCAACUCGCCUCUGGAUAAAUCUCGUACCUGGGUCUUUGGCUCUAAGAACCUACAUUGAUGCCAAAUUCGAUGCACCCUUGCUUCUGGGAAAGCAGCUUUGGGUUCCAAUUUGAUGACCUACCGACUCAAAUCUUCAUCAUGUGGUAUGGUCUAGUACCUACCUAAUUGGCGUAGAACUCUGUGCGUGGCAUAAGGCUAAAUGCUCCGGAGACCCAUCAAUAGAAGAAAACACACCUCAGCCGAUAUAUAAAUGACUUCACUAACCGAGAUCCACCCGAAUGUCCAUUUAAUCUUGUUUGCAGUUAGGGAGCUUAAGCGUGCAAACCAUGCUUCCGUACCAUCCGGAAACCCGUAUCCCUCCUCCCGUCAUUCAUGUUUUUCAAUGCAUUGAAGACCGGUCAUACUGCAGUUCAUGUACCCCAGACGAUGGCAAAGGUGCUCCACCAUCCAGAGUUGUAGAAGCAUAUUCCAUCCUUCAAAAAACUUUCCUCCUUCUCGGCAAACAAAUAGAGCUCGGUAGAUCUCUUCCAAGAUCAUCGCUACAAUGGUGCCAUUUGCCUUUUUAAUCAUGAAGUCGGCUAUCCCCACAAGCCCCAAUUCUAUGUUUCCAUCUUUUCUUGGACAAAUCAAAAUACCCAGGAAUGCCACUAUGAAAGACAAUCCCCGCCGAGCUUCCCACUUAUCUUUGUUCCCCGAAUGAGUAAGACCAGUAUCUGGCAUCUCAAAACCGCGAGGGUUCUUGUAGCGUCGAUACAAGAAGUAGAAUGUGCAGAAUCCCUUGGCCAAAUUUGCGUCUUGAACUUCCCGACUGAUGCUUAGAAUGUCUAGAAAUUUAUGAGGAGUAACCGUUCUGUGUGCCACCAGGUAUUGAUUUCUGAGAUUCCUACUAAAACCAGCAUAGGCCGCUAUUUCCUCAAGCGUAGGGGUUAGCUCAAAAUCAGCAAAAUGGAAUACAUUAUGUGCUGGGUCCCAGAAGGAUAUCAAAGCCUCAAUUAUAUCCUUCCUCGGCUUGAUCUUCAGAAGCCCAACAAGACCACCCAAAGCUUUUAUCACAGUUUUUCUGCUGACUUCCCUCAAAUCAUGCCACCACAUAUGUAGUUCCAACGGGAUUUUCUCGCGAACUGUGAAAGGUUCAUUUUCAAUUAUGCUCAUCCUGCACAUUUGUUUAAGGUGAUUGAUUAAAAGACUGUGAUUUACUUUGACUCAAGGGAAAACGCUCAUUUUCACAAAAUUUAGAACAAAACAUUCUUGCGAAUACAACCCUUCAGCGCCUCAAGAGAGAAAAAAACUUUUUAGGGCUAUUUUUGUUAACCAACCAAAUUUUUUAAAAAAGGAUCCUAAGUGGCUAUUCUUGCAAAAACAGCCUUCCAGUGCCCUUUGGGGCAUUUUUGGCUAUUUUGGACAAGAACGAUGCCACCUAAUUUAUUUAUGACAAAACAGCGACACUUCAAUUUUUGGGUUAUUUUUGCAAAAGGAGUUGGACCCGAUAAGGGUUGCCUAUGUAUCCCACAUCCGAUGAGUAUCAAACUUGCGUAGUUCAAUCAAUUUUGAAGCAACAAAAAACACAAACUUUUGAAGUAGCUUUUUUCUUCUUUUUUUUCGAAAAUUUCGGCAGAGUUUCAGGGUAUUUUGGACACCAGGUUUUUCAUAGGCGGGUAAUUUCCUCUCUCUCUCUCUCUCUCUCUCUCACCUCAAUUUGGUUUUUGUCCAUUUCUCCCUUAUUAUAGAAGCCAGUCAAUAUGCAAUCUGAGUCAAAUAAAUGCGCAAGUAGCAAGCAGAAUGCAUCAGGAUGGUCUUUUGAUUUCAGGUGCACCUGUCCUAGACGGAUUCAACCCCUAUGUUGAGUCCCCAAAGUCAAAAUGUACAUGAUGCAAACAAGUGUUCCUACUAGGGAUCCAGCAUGAGGCUAUGUUAUACUAGGUUUAAAAACCUGGGUUUAUUUGUUCUAGACCUAGCUUACCCGAGCGGACAGCUCGAGCCGGGAGGGGGGGGGGGGGCAGCGUACCAGGAAUACAGAAGCUUCACCAGCUUUGCAACUUAUCUGAACCUCGUUCUAAAAUUAGAAUAUGACUCUAACAGAAAAGAAGUCACACGAAGUGCACACUUCCCAGAUGAUUUAGAAGACUCAGAUAGAGGAGGGUUUCGUAUAGAUUUAUAUACCGUUCAACAAUAUCAAAGCGGUAAAAGCAAAAUUUAGCACAUUAGGCCCAAACAUGUAAAUAAAACCAGAUAAUAAAUAAAGUCAAAUAUAACAAUUAUUCUAAGCUCGAAUUCUGAACCCUGAACUAGAGAUUCUGGGUUCUUGUCCCCAACAGAGUCGCUAGAGCUGUCACACCUCCUUUUUCCUACCCCCGAAAGAGUAUAAGGGAGUUUUUUCCAAUUUAAGUGACAAUCGACACGAGAUUCUUUUUUUUUUUAAAAAAAUUCAGAGUUACCACUUGGGAUGAUUUAUGGUGUCCCAAGUCACCGAUUUUAAAUCCUGAAUCGAGGAAAGAUUGACUCUGUUUAUAGUCUGCGAACACAGAAAUCCGGGUAAGGAAUUCUGUUAACACAGGAGAAGGUGUUAGGCAUUCCCGGGUCCCGUGGUUUUAGCACGGUCGCUUAACUGUUAUUAUUGGCCUAAUUAUCUGAUUUUAAAAUACUUUUAAGCAUAUGUGCAUUUUUAACAUUUUAGCCGCUUUUAAUUAUUCAAAGAAUUACUUCAAGGUUAUUUAAAAUAUAUCGCAAGCCAUGCUACAUGAAAUGCACCCAUGGUUCACGACACAUUCUAUUUAACCUUGUUGGAAAUUAGAACCGGGCCACAUGAAAUGUACCCCCGGGUUUUAGUACUCAAACGAAAAUCAAUUUAAAGAACGCGCCUAAAGCAACUACGAAAGUUCAAAUUAAUAACAAAGUUUGCGAGGGCCAUGGAAAAUUCAAUUGAUGGUACACCUCGAUCUUUAAGGAGUUAGUAUUAAUUAUAUGAGGUCCAUGAGCUUAAGGGUUUUAUUCGGCAUGGCACGCCUCAAUUUAUUCUUAAAGGUUUUGAUCUAAUCCUUGAGGGCCAUAAAUCAUUUGUUUUGGUAACAUGGCACACCCCAAUCUAAUUUUGAAAGUGUCUAAUUAAUUAAAGAAGACUAAAGGGAUUUUAAUUUAUUCUAAGCUAAUGUUCAGACUAGCCUGAUAACAAAUGGAUUUGCAUUAAAUGAAAUUAAGUGUUUGGCUGAAAGGGCCCGGGCAGGCCCAAACGUCGUGUGUCAGCUCCAUGACAAAACACUAGAGAAAGCUGGGCUCAACAUGAGGCCUAGACUGAUAGGUGUUUGGGCAUAAUUGGGCUAACGACAAUGGCCCAGUUGCACACCUAACAAGACUUUGAAUCAUUUGAGGACACAAUUAGUUAGUAUAUGAAAGAUAAAAAACCUUGACGUAUGAAAUAACAAACGAGAUUAACAUAAACUAACAGCCCCAAAUACAUGCUAGAUUAUAACCCUUCGUAACACUACUAGAUAUUCUCCAUAUUUCCCUGUGCAAUUGGAGAAGAAUCCAGCAACCAUUUUUCAAUAGAGUACCACAGCCUCAAACACAAGGUUAAAUGAACUUCCAUUUAGCUAAGAAUACAGAGAAGAUGAGCUAAUUAUACCAUAGCUUUAUUCUGAACUUUCACACAAAUUUAGCACUUAAAACAUGAACUACUAGAGCAUGUAUUGCUACAUCUUUAUUACAUUCAAGAAGGAGAAAUGAAAGAAACUGAAUGGCCUAAGUAGAAAAUAAGAAAAUCAGACUUCAAAAACAAGCAGUCUUUAUUGAUUUCAGUAGAAACAAACACCUUCCACACGUUCAAGAACAAACUGUCAAUUUAGAUUCAAAAGAGUACCAGAAGAUAAAACCAAAACAACCAAAACUUCAGCAAUAAGAUAGUAGGGUCAGUAGAGCCUUAAAACAGCAUCAAGCAGCAAACAUCAAUCAGCUUCAGCCAUGUUUUUGAUCCCAAAAAGAAAAUCAACAAUUUACUCAGCUCUUAGAAAACCCCAGAAAUACGAAAAUCCAGCUGCAAUGGAACAGUACUGGUGAUUUUUUGUAUUUUUUCUUCCUAAUUUUCAAACUCUAGUAGUAGUAUGUAUGUUCUUCAGCCGUUUGCUCAACGUUUUUAUCUCCUCUAAAAUCUGUUGAAAAUAACCUUAUAUAGAUAACUUAGGGCAGUAGAAAUAAUUUUACCAUUUUUACAAUCAACCCUUCCCCAAUUUUCAUUUGUAUACUUUUAAACCCUGAAUUUUUAAAUCAAUUACUGAAACUAAACAAACCCCUCUUUCCCGGAAGCUUCCCAUUCAUUUUUAAAGAUUCUUUCAAUUAAAAUCCCCCAAAUACCCUUUAAUCCCCUGUUAUUUACCAUCAGACUAAGCAUGGGUCAAGUUGAGCCAACAAUCAACCACAGACCCUGGGCUUGCAAACCCUGGACUGGCCCUCCCCUAUUUGGGCUUUUAACCCAUGAAGCCCAAAAUUUAAUUCCAAAACCAAUCAGAAAACCAAUCAAGAAACUAGGCCAAUGGAGUUAUAAGGAACUCCUGAAGCCAUGAAUCCAAAGAAAACAAAAUAGGAGGAAAUUGGAGCAAAAUCAAACAAGGAACCAAACAAAAUGCUGACUAAAAAUAACUUAAAAUUAGCAUGCAUACAGAAACGAUUUAAAAACAAGAAAAAAAAAAAAAAAAAGAAAGAAUCAUAAGAAGAUGAGAACGAGAAUAAAACAAAAGAUGAAAGAAAGAGAAAUGGCCGAAAAAUACCUAGAAUAAGCGGAUGGACAGUGGACUUGGACAGAUCUUCAACACUUUCGAUUUUGAGCCGAAAUUAGCAUUAAUCGCGUGUUCUCGUUGAGAACAUACGAAUAACACCAAUUUUAACUCUAAUAGUUCAAGGAAAAUUCAGAGAUUUUGGAGGAUUUUCUUUUUCCUUCUUUUUUAGAUCUGGAACUGGUUAGAUUUGGUGAGGUUUAGUGGAGAUGCAUCGGUGAUUUGGGACUUAGGGGUGAGUGAUGGUGGUGUGGUCGAAAUUUGAGAGGGUUUGGAGGUCAAUCGCUAGUGGAAAUGGUGGAAGUUUUUGAGGGCGGAACUAGGGUUUAGGGUCAGAGACGAGAGUGACUGAGAAGUGAGUUUGGUCUUAGGUUGUUUGGAUAGUCUUAAACAAAAUGGGGGACGUGUUC
rnacentral:lncRNA from 1 species